GUGCCAGCAGCCGCGGUAAUACAGAGGGUGCAAGCGUUAAUCGGAAUUACUGGGCGUAAAGCGAGCGUAGGUGGCUUGAUAAGUCAGAUGUGAAAUCCCCGGGCUUAACCUGGGAACUGCAUCUGAAACUGUUAGGCUAGAGUAGGUGAGAGGGAAGUAGAAUUUCAGGUGUAGCGGUGAAACGCGUAGAGAUCUGAAGGAAUACCGAUGGCGAAGGCAGCUUCCUGGCAUCAUACUGACACUGAGGCUCGAAAGCGUGGGUAGCAAACAGGAUUAGAUACCCUGGUAGUCCACGCCGUAAACGAUGUCUACUA
rnacentral:rRNA from 1 species